AAACAUAGCCAGUAGAUUUGAAAUUACUGGUGCGACCUGCCCAGUGAGAUUUUAACGGCCGCAGUACCCUGACUGUGCAAAGGUAGCAUAAUCAUUUGGCUUUUAAUUGAAGUCUCGUAUGAAAGGAAAAACGUAUAAAAACUGUCUCCAGAAAUAAAUCUGUUAAAAUUGUUCUAUAAGGUGAAAAUACCUUAAAUAAUAAAAAUAGACGAGAAGACCCUUAGAAUUUUAAUAAAACCAAACCUAUAUAUGGGGUAAUUUUUGUUGGGGCAACAUUUUUUCAUAAAAUAAAAAAUAGCCAUUAAAUAUAUAACGAUUGAGUAUAAUAAAAUAAAAAUUACCUAAGGGAUAACAGCAUAAUUUUAAGUGAAGAUUGUGACCUCGAUGUUGGACUAGGAACUAUUAAGGCUAAUCGUUUUAAUAUAAUAGGUUCUGUUCGAACUUUGCUUCCUA
rnacentral:rRNA from 1 species